GUGGGGAAUAUUGGACAAUGGGCGAAAGCCUGAUCCAGCCAUGCCGCGUGUGUGAAGAAGGUCUUCGGAUUGUAAAGCACUUUAAGUUGGGAGGAAGGGCAGUAAGUUAAUACCUUGCUGUUUUGACGUUACCAACAGAAUAAGCACCGGCUAACUUCGUGCCAGCAGCCGCGGUAAUACGAAGGGUGCAAGCGUUAAUCGGAAUUACUGGGCGUAAAGCGCGCGUAGGUGGUUUUGUAAGUUGGAGGUGAAAUCCCCGGGCUCAACCUGGGAACUGCCUCCAAAACUGCAUGACUAGAGUACGGUAGAGGGUGGUGGAAUUUCCUGUGUAGCGGUGAAAUGCGUAGAUAUAGGAAGGAACACCAGUGGCGAAGGCGACCACCUGGACUGAUACUGACACUGAGGUGCGAAAGCGUGGGGAGCAAACAGGAUUAGAUACCCGAGUAGUCC
rnacentral:rRNA from 1 species